UCUACGGGGGGCAGCAGUGAGGAAUAUUGGUCAAUGGGAGAGAUCCUGAACCAGCCAAGCCGCGUGAGGGAAGACGGCCCUAUGGGUUGUAAACCUCUUUUGUCGGAGAACAAAACCCGGGACGCGUCCCGGACUGCGUGUAUCCGAAGAAAAAGCAUCGGCUAACUCCGUGCCAGCAGCCGCGGUAAUACGGAGGAUGCGAGGGUUAUCCGGCUUUAUUUGGUUUAAAGGGUGCGUCGGCGGUCCGUUAAGUCAGCGGUAACAUUGCGGGGCGCAACCCCUUAGAGCCGUUGAAACUGGGAGACUUGAGUUGGCGAGAAGUACGCGGAAUGCGCGGUGUAGCGGUGAAAUGCAUAGAUAGCGCGCAGAACUCCGAUUGCGAAGGCAGCGGACCGGCGCCAGACUGACGCUGAGGCACGAAAGCGUGGGGAUCGAACAGGAUUAGAUACCCGAGUAGUC
rnacentral:rRNA from 1 species